CAGCGUAACUAUGGUAAUGCAGCGGGCUUCCGUGAUGGGGCUUCAGACCUCACGGCACUUGUGGACGCAUUGGCGGCAGCGAGAGAGACGCGGUCAGGAGGCGACGCUCAGGCUGUGAGUAUGUCUUGAGCGGCUGCCAUGGUAACGCGGCUCGCUCUCGCGACGUCACUUCCGGUCCCGCUGAGACGCCAGUGAGCCGGGCGGAAGUCCUGAGCGGGUGGCCAGAGAGACACGCUGCAGCUGGUGAUUGAAUGGGGUCAGGGGCUGACAGCGUCACUAUGGUAACGCAGCGGGCAUCCGUGAUGGGGCUUCAGAUCUCACGGCACUUGUGGACGCAUUGGCGGCAGCGAGAGAGACCCAGUCAGGAGGCAAUGCUCAGGCUGUGAGUAUGUCUUGAGCGGUUGCCAUGGUAACGCGGCUCGCUCCCGCGACGUCACUUCCGGUCCCGCUGAGACGCCAGUGAGCCGGGCGGAAGUCCUGAGCGGGUGGCCAGAGAGACACGCUGCAGCUGGUGAUUGAAUGGGGUCAGGGGGAACCAUCUUUAAGCUCUUCCUGUUUUUUAUUUCCUUUUUGUUUCGUCUUUUUUCCUUCUCCUUCCAGCGUCUUUACAGGCUGUUUUGUAAUCUACGCCUAAUCCUUUUUAUUCGAAUGAAGAAUUAAUAAAUGCCAGUUUGUGGUUUUGGUUGCGUUAAGAUGAACCGGCUGAAUGCUGCCAAGAUUUGCCAUCUGCCACCUACAAGUGCAGGUGCCACGGAGUCUCUCCUGCAUACAAAACGUAAUAAUAUAACACAAAGGGCCAAUGUGCAGCAAUAAUUGCUAAACACACAUAAAGGGAGAGCAGAACAUUUUUAUGAAAGUUUACUUAGUCUGUGGAGAUUUGCAUACAGAUGGACAGGUCGUAGGCUCGGGUUUGCUGCCUGGGCCACUCUGCAGAGGCCCGCCUUUAUAAAGCACACUCUGCAUUCACUAUAGCGUAGUGCGCUGGAGAGGCCUCAUUCUGCACACAUUGAAUAGUCAUUCAAGUAGUUUGCUUUGAAAUAAAAAAAAGACCUUGGAUAUAGAAAAAAAAAAAAAAAAGAAGCAAAUUCUUUUCUUUGUGAAACAGAGCAGUGUUGGGAUAGGGGCCAAGGGACGUAAAGAAUGCCGGUUAGCAACAUGGAAUUAGAGGCAAGUUUCUGUGGAGAUACAUUUAGAAAUGUGGCAUUCAGCUUCUUCUGGUGACCAGAAACAUUACGGAUAUUUCAAACGGCUUGCGGAAUAUGGGAGACAAGGGGAGCUGACCAUUUUCCUGCUUAUAAUAAGCCUGACCUUGGCAGUAAGCGCCUGGACUUGAUUCAUCCGGUGCUGGAGGUUCUGACAGAAAAAGAAAAAGAGAAAAUUUAUUUAGUCAAGUUUACGCUAGAAAUGUGUGACCAAUAUGUAAAUUUGUUUAUAAUUUAUUUAUUUACUUUUACUUUCUUUACAGCUGUAUAAAAGUAAUACCUAGUAAAUGAGGAAUGUUAUA